rnacentral:rRNA from 1 species
GAGCGGACGACUGUGAACUAGUAAA